rnacentral:rRNA from 1 species
GUCUUUGGUCAUACCACCCUGAACGCACCUAAUCUUGUCUGAUCUUGGAAGCUAAGCAGAGUCAAGUCAUGGUUAGUACUUGGAUGUGAAAAUAAAGCCUUGGAGAGCCUUUUAACCUAUGAUC